rnacentral:rRNA from 1 species
UGAGGAAUAUUGGUCAAUGGGCGUAAGCCUGAACCAGCCAAGUCGCGUGAGGGAAGACGGUCCUACGGAUUGUAAACCUCUUUUGCCGGGGAGCAACGGGGUCCUUGCGAGGGCCCGAUGAGAGUACCCGGAGAAAAAGCAUCGGCUAACUCCGUGCCAGCAGCCGCGGUAAUACGGAGGAUGCGAGCGUUAUCCGGAUUUAUUGGGUUUAAAGGGUGCGUAGGCGGGCUGUUAAGUCAGCGGUCAAAUGUCGGGGCUCAACCCCGGCCUGCCGUUGAAACUGGCGGCCUCGAGUGGGCGAGA